rnacentral:rRNA from 1 species
UCUGGUUGCAUGCCCCGUGGACCGGUUGCUUUUGACACAGUUGCGACUGGUCAUGCCAAAUCGGUUUUGUGGCUGUGCGACCUUUUUGCCGUGUCUGUUUCGACAGGUGUCGGUAGACCAAGUGUCUGUUGACAUGCUUUCGUAUGCCCUUAACCGGGUGUCGGGAGCAGACGGCACGUUUACUUUGAACAAAUUUGAGUGCUCAAAGCAGGCUUUUGCCUGAAAAUUCUUGCAUGGAAUAAUGGAAUAGGACUUCGGUUCUAUUUUGUUGGUUUUCGGAUCCGAAGUAAUGG